GACAGAGGGUGCAAACGUUGUUCGGAAUUACUGGGCGUAAAGCGCGUGUAGGCGGCUCUGUAAGUCGGGUGUGAAAUCCCACGGCUCAACCGUGGAAGUGCACUCGAAACUACAGGGCUAGAGUCCUGGAGAGGAAGGUGGAAUGCUUGGUGUAGAGGUGAAAUUCGUAGAUAUCAAGCGGAACACCGGUGGCGAAGGCGGCCUUCUGGACAGUGACUGACGCUGAGGCACGGAAAGCGUGGGGAGCAAACAGG
rnacentral:rRNA from 1 species